GCCCUGGUUGAUUAAUGGAAAUCACCCACAUCCCAUGCGGUUUGAUCCAGGGGAUUGAUGCGGGAGACGGAGGUUCGAAUCCUCCCCAGGGCA